AGGGAGGGGUUCUCAGGUUUUAACCUUCCAACGCAGUCACAUCCUCACCAUAUUUCACACUACACGGUCAAUUUAUCAUAGAAGAUUGAGACGUGAGAGAAAGAAAUGUGGUGCAUUUGCUUCAAAGGGAGGAGAGAAGAUGGGGACACUACCACUUUCUCGAAAGAGAGUUUGUCUUGUGGAAGAAAAAAGGGAGACACUGAAGGGAGGAUAGCAGAGGACAACCGUCUCAUUGGUGGAGAAAUGCCCUGUCAACAAAAACCAACCUACAAUCCCCAGUCUACCAUCACAGUGCAGGGUGGAAGCAUUGUAAUUGCCCCAGAGAUCAACUCCACAGUAGGAGGUGACAUCAACAUCAACAUUGGAACAAAGUGAGGUGUCCAUGUGACCUGUCCCCAGUGUGAAGAGAUCCAGACAACAUUGGGGAACACUGUCAUCCAGCUGUUAAUAAAUCAUUGACAAUAAUUCUCUAAUUCGUUUCAGUGUGUUACAUCAAGGAGAGAACAAACAUUCAAUAAAAUUCACAAGUUGAUUUAAAACCUGUUAAUUCUCUCAUUCUUGACAGAUUUGUCAAAUUGGUGACACAGAAAAAUCACUUUCCGUGCGUUCAUGGCAGUGUUGCUGUCGACAUUUGGCUUCUGGUGAGGGGAAAACCAUUCACGUGUAUUUCAGAGUGGGUCUGUGUAACAAUGUUGAUGUGGGUCUGUGGUAACUGUCCAAUGUCAGUGUAGCUGCUGGUACAGACAUUGCACUUUUAGGUGCAUUAAAGGAUCCUGCACUGCCUAUUAAGUGAAUAUAGAGCACUAUAUUCGUUCUGAGCCCUCUCAUGUACUCCCUGUUCACCCACGACUGCGUGGCCAGCACGCCUCCAAC
rnacentral:lncRNA from 1 species